rnacentral:lncRNA from 1 species
AAGUGGCAGCAGGGACAUCAGCUGGCAAUUGUAAAUAGGUUUCCAGGAUCAAAACUAACCUUUCAGCGUAUUCUCAGCUAUGACACAGUGGUGCAAACAACUGGAGACUCGUGGCACAUACCAUAUGAUGAAGACUUGGUAGAAAGAUGUUCCUGUGAAGUACCAACCAAAUGGCUUUGCCUCCACCAAAAGACAUAGAGAUUCUUACCUCUAUGCUAAGUUUGUGUUUGGGUACCCUCUAGGUUGGCAUCAGAGGCUCUUGAGCUGGUGUUUGUUUAGGGCAUUGCCUCUGUCCUGAAGAUAAAAGGAUUCUAUUAACAGCAUUGACAUUGAUUUUUUAAUGAAAUGAGAUAUAUCUUUUCAUAACCAGCUGCGUUUUUUUCCCCUAACAUUUGUUUUUGGAGGCUUAUCAAGAGUUGGAGAACUUAGUGUAGAGCAAAACCUGCAUUUCUCCUACUGGGCCAGCUAUUCCACUUAGCUUGGGUGACUAAUAGUGCUUUUGGUAUCCAUUUUUUGCUACUUCUGACCUUGCCUUCCAGGCCUACCAAUAGCAGAAUCAAUCCAUCUGUCCCUGAGAUACUCAUGUUGUUUCAAAUGCCUCCUCCCAUUUCUGGCAUAGUCUCAUUCUCUGUAUGUUAUGCCCUAUCCACAUGGAAUCAUUUAUCGUCCUCUGUAAUAAACUGGCCAAG